rnacentral:pre_miRNA from 1 species
GAAUCCUUUCUGCACACACUUUGCGUUGACACUCGGUGUGCGGAAAUGCUUCUGCUCCACUGGUGGG